GGCUUAACACAUGCAAGUCGAACGGGAUCUUCGGAUCUAGUGGCGCACGGGUGAGUAACGCGUAGGAAUCUACCCAUUAAUCUGGAACAACAGCGGGAAACUGCUGCUAAUGCCGGAUACGCUCUUCGGAGGAAAGAUUUAUCGUUAAUGGAUGAGCCUGCGUUGGAUUAGGUAGUUGGUAGGGUAAUGGCCUACCAAGCCGACGAUCCAUAGCCGGUCUGAGAGGAUGAUCGGCCACACUGGGACUGAGACACGGCCCAGACUCCUACGGGAGGCAGCAGUGGGGAAUAUUGGGCAAUGGGCGCAAGCCUGACCCAGCCAUGCCGCGUGAGUUUGAAGGCCUUAGGGUUGUAAAGCUC
rnacentral:rRNA from 1 species